GCCACCGCUUGGCUUCUCCUCCCAGGCUUGCCAGGAGAAACAGCUGUUUGGCGCGCGGCAAGCCUGGGCGGGAAGGGGGAGAAGCGGAGCGGCGGCGGCGCGCUCAGGGGAGCUGCCCGGGGGCGGAGCGGAGGCGAGCUGGGGCACAUCUCUAGGGGCAGCAUGGCCGGCACCAGAAUGCCGCCCCUAGAAAUGUGCCGCCCCAAGCACCUGCUUGUUUUGCUGGUGCCUAGAGCCGGCCCUGCCCCAAACGGGCGGUUCAUGCACCACCCAUGACUGAGGAGCUGGACCAGGGGACAACAGAGGUGGGGAACAGAAUGGCUUCCUAGCCUGCUUAAGUGUGUGUAGGGCCAAGGGACAGAAUGCGGCAUUGGUCAGUUUCAAGAAGAACCCUGAUCCCUCAAAUGGGAGAUCCUGCAUCUCCUGGGAGAGCCUGGAGGACUGCACCCAAGAGCUGCGCCUCAUGACCACCGCAGAAGCGACUGCCCUGGCUACAGAGUCCAUAGCAUCCCAGGCCAUCUAGAGGGUGCCUCUCGCCACUGUUUUGCCCUCGUCCACCAAGGUGGCAAACUCCUGGGCUCGGUCCUGUGGAAGGCCCUCCUUGAACUUUCUGAUGGAGUCCCACAGGUUGAAAUUGUACUUGCCUAGCAGGGCCUGAUGGUUAGACACCUGAAAUUGCAGGCUGGCUGUCAAAAUAAAUUUUCCUGCCAAACAA